rnacentral:tRNA from 1 species
GCCAUAGUCGUUCAACGGUAGGACACCCUCCUCGUCAACAGGGAGAAAGGGGUUCGACUCCCCUCUGUGGCU